rnacentral:rRNA from 1 species
CACGUAGGGCGCGAGCGUUGUCCGGAAUUAUUGGGCGCAAAGAGCUCGUAGGCGGCCUGUUGCGUCCGCUGUGAAAGCCCGGGGCUUAACCCCGGGUCGGCAGUGGAUACGGGCAGGCUAGAGGUAGGUAGGGGAGAAUGGAAUUCCCGGUGUAGCGGUGAAAUGCGCAGAUAUCGGGAGGAACACCGGUGGCGAAGGCGGUUCUCUGGGCCUUACCUGACGCUGAGGAGCGAAAGCGUGGGGAGCGAACAGG